rnacentral:snRNA from 1 species
GAAUGUGUGGGCAAUUUGGCUGUGACACCUGUCACCGAUUGAUUGCCAGGGUUGACUUGGCUGAUCUGGUUGGCUAGGUGGGUGCCUCCUUCCUCCCUUAUUCUCCAUGUAUGUUCCUCCCAAAGAUGAGUGAAGGUGGAAGAGGAUGACCAUCCCUGACCGAAGAGGGUUGUUCUUUGCUCAAGAGUAUUUGAAAAACUGGUGCUCUCCACUAGAAACUCCACACAAGCUCUCAAGGAAGUGUCAGAAAGGAAACAGUGCCCUGUAACAGAAAAGACCAUUGAUAUUUAGCUGUCCAGAUGU